rnacentral:lncRNA from 1 species
UUAAUGUGUAUUUUUAUGUGUAUGUAUUGAGAAAUAUAGUCUGAUUUUGUGUAUUAUGCAGUAUUGUACUAUUUAAUAUGUACUAUGUUAUUGUAUAUUUAAUAUGUACUAUAUAUGUAUAUUUAAUAUGUAAUAUUUACAUGUACCAUUUAAUCUUUUGUGUCAUUGUAUUAUUUAAUCUUUAAUAUCCUUGUCAUCUGUUGCAGCUGGUAAGGUUUCUAUAUUAUUAAUUUGAGAGAUAAGUUUGUUAAAUGCUCAGUUCAUGUAGCGCGUAUAAAUAGAGUUAGCAAUCGAUUGCAUCAGGCUAAAAUAAGAGCCAAUAUUUAUCAAAGACAGGCAUCCAAGCUCAAAAGAAUCGAUGAAAAAGAAAAAAGCUAGAGCAAAAAAAGUUAGAGCAUUAGCUAUCCAAACUUAGUUAUGAUGAAAUUAUAGAUUCAUACAAAAAUUUGUCUAAUGACCAACUUUAUAAUUUAGAAGAUGUCAUGUAUAGAAGAAUUGUAGGCAAAAAACUAUAUCAUAAAUGAUAUGAUCCUAAACAUCCAAGCCUGUUUUGUAUAAUGGCAGAGUAGAUAAAGUAUUUAGUUGAAAAAAUGACUUAGUUUGCACUAUUUCUUACUGGAAAGAUGAUGAAACAUAUAUGGAAGCUGUUAAUCAUUCCAUGAAAAAGAUCCAGCUUGUUGCAGAUGUUAUUUCAGAAGAGUUACAAUUUUAUUAAUUUUAUAUUAUAUUAAUAAAACACUGUGAAAGUACAAGUUUGAAAUUUAAGCUAAAAAAGUACUACAAAUGAAUUGCUGAAAAAUACUACCAGUGUUGUGACUAGCUAAAAGAAAUUUAUUAUUGUAAUCAUUCAUUAAAAGCCAAGACAAAACUAUAUGAAAUAAAAAAUAAACAAACCAUUAUUAUUUCUUUUUAAUAACAUUUUAUUUGUUUUUUAGUUUGAAACAGCCAAAGCGCUAUUUGAAAGAUUUAAAAAUUAUUAAAGGUUGGUUAAUAAAAUGGAUAUCAAAGCUGUAGAACAUUGCAUGAAAAAGUUUCAGCUUGUUGCAGAUAUUGUUUCCAGAGAGUUGACUAGAUAUUAUUUUGUUAAAACACUGCAAAUAUAUAAAUUUGAAAUUUAUAGAUUAAAAAACUGCUGUGACUUGUUGAAAAAAAAAAAGUACUGCUAGUGUUGUGACUUGCUAAAAAAAAGUACUGCAAGUGAUGUGACUUGCUAAAAAUAGUACUGCAAGUGUUGUGACUUGCUAAACAAAAGUACUGCAAGUGUUGUAACUUGCUAUGUAUUUUUGAUAGGCGACUCUGGCUUACCUUCACGUGGUGUCUAUUGUUAAAAAUGAUUAUAAAAUAAUUUCAUUAGUAUAGUUUAUCAUUGUAAUCACUCACUAAAAGCCAAGAAAAAACUUUAUGAAAUAAAGCAUCAUUAAAAUAAUCAAACAUUAUUUAGUGUUAAUAACAUUUUUUUUGGUUUUUAGUUUGAAACAGCCUAACUUUUUGUUAACCAAACUAGUAUCAAGCACUAUAUGAAAGAUUUGAAGAUUUAUAAAGGUUGGCAAAUACCUUGUUUUGAUUACCUUUUUACCAUUAUUGACUGAUAAUAGAAGUCACUCUGUAUGAGAAUAUUUUAACCAAAAAUUCUCCAAUUAAUCAAAAAUGCUUUUUUAAAAAAAAAAAGAUUAAUUUGGGGAAAGGGGGGGGGAUAGCCCAUCUCUUUUGAGAAUGGAUGCAACACUGAUGUAACUUUUACCGGGUAAGAUAUAUUUUUUACUUCUUUGUUGUUGUUCUUUAAAUAACCAAUCAAAUAUUUCAUAAUUAAAAUUUUUUUGCUAUAUUAGGGUGGUUAAAACAUGGUCAACACAUUUAACAUGAGUUUUACACUUACCUUCAAUGUUUGGUGGUUGUCUAGUUGGGGUUAUUCUCCCCUCCCAUACAUCGAUGUAAACACGACUUAAAUUCGUAAUAGUAACACCACGUAAAUUCUUGUAGAACAUAAUUUUAUAUUGUAUACUAAUUGAAUUCAUUUUAGUAAAGAUAAAAAUAUUUAUGAAAA